CAGCCGCCACGGUAAUGCAAAGGAUGCAAGCGUUAUCCGGAAUGAUUGGGCGUAAAGCGUCUGUAGGUGGCUUUUCAAGUCCACCGUCAAAUCCCAGGGCUCAACCCUGGACAGGCGAUGGAAACUACCAAGCUGGAGUAUGGUAGGGGCAGAGGGAAUUUCCGAUGGAGCGGUGAAAUGCGUUGAGAUCGGAAAGAACACCAACGGCGAAAGCACUCUGCUGGGCCGACACUGACACUGAGAGACGAAAGCUAGGGGAGCAAAUGGGAUUAGAUACCCCCGUAGUCCCUGUCUCUUAUAC
rnacentral:rRNA from 1 species